AAGAAAGAGAGCAUACUGCAGUACAAAACUGAAAUCAUUUUCAAUAUUUAGAGUUAAUUUUAUAGUUAUAGUAUAUAGUGUAGUCAAAAUAAAUAUAUAUUAAUUAAAUAUAUUUUACUAUUUCUAUAUUAUAAAAUAUAUUUAUAAAUAAGUCAUUACCACCCCUGGUUGCUCUUUCCUUAACUGUUUCAACCAAUGAA